GUGGGGAAUAUUGGACAAUGGGCGCAAGCCUGAUCCAGCCAUGCCGCGUGAGUGAUGAAGGCCCUAGGGUUGUAAAGCUCUUUCAGUGGGGAAGAUAAUGACGGUACCCACAGAAGAAGCCCCGGCUAACUUCGUGCCAGCAGCCGCGGUAAUACGAAGGGGGCUAGCGUUGUUCGGAAUUACUGGGCGUAAAGCGCACGUAGGCGGAUUGUUUAGUGAGGGGUGAAAUCCCAGGGCUCAACCCUGGAACUGCCUCUCAUACUGGCAGUCUCGAGUCCGGAAGAGGUGAGUGGAAUUCCGAGUGUAGAGGUGAAAUUCGUAGAUAUUCGGAGGAACACCAGUGGCGAAGGCGGCUUCCUGGAUCGACACUGACGCUGAGGCGCGAAAGCGUGGGGAGCAA
rnacentral:rRNA from 1 species